CAGGAAGACGGUCCUCUGGAUUGUAAACUGCUUUUGUUAGGGAAGAAACCCUCUGAUGCGUCAGAGGCUGACGGUACCUAAAGAAUAAGGAUCGGCUAACUCCGUGCCAGCAGCCGCGGUAAUACGGAGGACCCAAGCGUUAUCCGGAUUUAUUGGGUUUAAAGGGUGCGUAGGCGGCGUUGUAAGUCAGUGGUGAAAGUUUGCAGCUUAACUGUAAAAUUGCCAUUGAUACUGCAGUGCUUGAGUACAGAUGAGGUGGGCGGAAUGUGUCAUGUAGCGGUGAAAUGCAUAGAUAUGACACAGAACACCGAUUGCGAAGGCAGCUCACUAAACUGUAACUGACGCUGAGGCACGAAAGCGUGGGGAUCAAACAGGAUUAGAUACCCUGGUAGUCCACGCCCUAAGCGAUGAUUACUCGAUGUUAGCGAUAUACAGUUAGCGUCAAAGCGGAAGCGUUAAGUAAUCCACCUGGGGAGUACGCCGGCAACGGUG
rnacentral:rRNA from 1 species